GCACCUUGUGCUUGGAGCCAACCUUAGUCGCUUUGAAACCGCGUGCGUGAUCCGGUGUCGAUCUUAUUUAUCUUGUUUCGAGAGUAACCGCACAAAAAACCAUCCGCCAUGGACGCCAUCAAGAAGAA